AUUUCCAGCCCAAAGCCCAAUUAGACCCGGUCCAAUUUCGGCCUAGUCCUCAGAAACGGACCGUUUUGAAGCUUGUUCCAGGAAGAAGACAAAGGCCCGAGACGGAGCAACACAGAAGGAACGAGAGGAGAGUCGAGACUGAAAUCACCAGUUUUCUGUUCCUUUCAGAUUGAAGCAGCUUCCAAAUAUUCCACCAUUGACACACUGAAGCAGCAGUUUCGUUUAUUCUUCCGAGCAUAAGGGUUGUUAUCUUGUAUAUAUUCUGACUGAGAUGUCUUCAUCUACGUCAAUGGUUUUCACUCUGACAUGUGAUGCAACCUGUUCUUAGCUUUGGUUCUUCGAUACCUUGGUUUAAGGGCCAUUCCUAUCAAUGGUCAUAUGAGCCAGCUUUUUACCAGGUUCAAGUAACGUAACAGGAUUACAUCCGUUGAGUGGGAAGAACUGCACGUGCUGGAUGAUCUGCGGCCAUCUCACUUGUAAAUCAGUACGAAUCGGCGUAGUACUUGCA